ACGAUCAGUAGCCGACCUGAGAGGGGGAUCGGCCACAUUGGAACUGAGCCACGCUCCAAACUCCUACGUGCGGCAGCAGUGGGGAAUAUUGCACAAUGGGCGAAAGCCUGAUGCAGCAACGCAGCGUGCGCGAUGAAGGCCUUCGGGUCGUACAACUCUGUCCUCAAGGCAGAUAAUGACGGUACUUGAGGCGGAAGCCCCGCUAACUACGUGCCAGCAGCCGCGGUAAUACGUAGGGGGCUAGCGUUAUCCGGAUU
rnacentral:rRNA from 1 species